CGUGUAGGCGGCUUGGUAAGUCUGAUGUGAAAUCCUAGGGCUCAACCCUAGAAAUGCAUUGGAUACUGCCGAGCUAGAGUCCGGGAGGGGAUGUCGGAAUUCCUAGUGUAGCGGUGAAAUGCGCAGAUAUUAGGAAGAACACCAAUGGCGAAGGCAGACAUCUGGAACGGUACUGACGCUGAGACGCGAAAGCGUGGGGAGCAAACAGGAUUAGAUACCCUGGUAGUCC
rnacentral:rRNA from 1 species